ACAACGACUCUCGGCAACGGAUAUCUCGGCUCUCGCAUCGAUGAAGAACGUAGCGAAAUGCGAUACUUGGUGUGAAUUGCAGGAUCCCGCGAGCCACCGAGUCUUUGAACGCAAGUUGCGCCCGGAGCCUUCUGGCCGAGGGCACGUCUGCCUGGGCGUCACGC
rnacentral:rRNA from 1 species